rnacentral:rRNA from 1 species
CGGCGGACGGGUGAGUAAUGCAUAGGAAACUGCCCGGUAGUGGGGGAUAACCUGGGGAAACCCAGGCUAAUACCGCAUACGUCCUACGGGAGAAAGCAGGGGCUCUUCGGACCUUGCGCUAUCGGAUGUGCCUAUGUCGGAUUAGCUGGUUGGUGAGGUAACGGCUCACCAAGGCGACGAUCCGUAGCUGGUCUGAGAGGAUGAUCAGCCACACUGGGACUGAGACACGGCCCAGACUCCUACGGGAGGCAGCAGUGGGGAAUAUUGGACAAUGGGCGAAAGCCUGAUCCAGCCAUGCCGCGUGUGUGAAGAAGGCUUUCGGGUUGUAAAGCACUUUCAGUGGGGAAGAAGGCCUGGCGGUUAAUACCCGUCAGGGACGACAUCACCCACAGAAGAAGCACCGGCUAACUCCGUGCCAGCAGCCGCGGUAAUACGGAGGGUGCGAGCGUUAAUCGGAAUUACUGGGCGUAAAGCGCGCGUAGGCGGCUUGAUAAGCCGGGUGUGAAAGCCCUGGGCUCAACCUGGGAACGGCAUCCGGAACUGUCAAGCUAGAGUGCAGGAGAGGAAGGUAGAAUUCCCGGUGUAGCGGUGAAAUGCGUAGAGAUCGGGAGGAAUACCAGUGGCGAAAGGCGGGCCUUCUGGACUGACACUGACGCUGAGGUGCGAAAGCG